rnacentral:rRNA from 1 species
CCUACGGGAGGCAGCAGUGGGGAAUAUUGCACAAUGGGGGAAACCCUGAUGCAGCGACGCCGCGUGAGUGAAGAAGUAAUUCGGUAUGUAAAGCUCUAUCAGCAGGGAAGAAAAUGACGGUACCUGAGUAAGAAGCACCGGCUAACUACGUGCAAGCAGCGGCGGUAAUACGUAGGGGGCAAGCGUUAUCCGGAUUUACUGGGUGUAAAGGGAGCGUAGACGGCAGUGCAAGUCUGGAGUGAAAGGCGGGGGCUCAACCCCCGGACUGCUCUUGAAACUGUGCGGCUGGAGUGCAGAAGAGGUAAGUGGAAUUCCUAGUGUAGCGGUGAAAUGCGUAGAUAUUAGGAAGAACACCGGUUGCGAAGGCGGCUUACUGGACUGCAACUGACGUUGAGGCACGAAAGCGUGGGGAGCAAACAGGAUUAGAUACCCGAGUAGUC